rnacentral:misc_RNA from 1 species
AAGAAGUAUGAAGAGAAAAAGGCUGAAAUAGAAAAUGCAAAGGUUAAUAGAGCAUGCGUAUAAUGUAAUACAGUAAAUACAGCCAAAAAGCUCCAAAACAUCCAGUAGAAAAGGAAAAAGUAGAGGGCAAAAAAAAGCUGGGACGUCAGAAUCAGGAGCCUAAAAUUGCAAAUUGGCAGUUACAAAGGGCAACAAGAAGCUUUUGAUAUAGCAUGAAACAAUGAAUUCCACAUCAAGAACGUUGUUGAGGGAAAAAAGAAGGCAAGCUUGUUUCUGAUAAAUUGACCAGAAGUCCAAAACAAAUGGUUGUGCAUCCAAGGUAGUUAAAAGCGUAAGGCACACUCAUAGUGAUGCAUCAUGUAAUGAAUACUAGUAAGG